UCCAAGUCAAUAGAGGGUUGGGGAAUCUGCAUUUUGCAAUGAGCAGCCUGGCUGAUUCUGAUGUAGAUGGUCCAAGGAACCAAGGAACUGUGGGGCACAUAGCCACAGACUAUGUUCAUGCAACAACUAUUUUUUAUUGAACGUUGGAUACAUGUAUCUGUCCAUUUCACAAAUUAUGUUUUAUUAUAUUAAAGAAUAAACCUCAUUUCUUCUACAACUUGAACAUCCAGCUUACUAUACACGGGAUCUGACUUAAUGUCAUACAGACCACUUACAAUGUGAUAGAAGCAUUGGAAGCAUUUGUUGAAAAAUAACAAUUUCACUCAAAGCACACUUUAUAGAUAGAGUUUUACAUGGUCACAGAGUUAAGUCUGAACAUUUAAAGGGAUCUGAGUCAUUCAUAUUAAUAUUGUGAAUUUCUUAUAAAUAAUUCAUUUGUUCAAGGAGUCCAGGCAAAGCCAAGCCGUGACAUUAUUUACACUAAGUACCACACCUGGAACUUGUUCUGAGUUAUUUAACACAGAGUACAUUUUUCAAUGCAAUAAAUAUUUACAGUUAAUAGUAGCAAGUACAAUUAUAAUUUAUGAAAUAUGAGUCUAAUAUUUAAAACAAAACAUAAAAUGACAUUAAAGAAGUUUGUGCCAUUUAUUUUUACAACUCACCGAAUUGACUGUUUUACGAAUUUUAUUACCCAAAACUCUACUGACUUGAAUGCAAGAAAGGUCAUGUUUGAAUCAGUAAAGCCCAGACUGCAGAAAAAAAAAAACUUUUAGAAGAUAAUGAGUUUUACUUUCUUAAUGUUAUACACGUAUUAUUAAUGUCAUUAGCUAAAAUGGAAGCAAAGUUAUGAAAAUCUGGAUUCACAACAGGCUCAAAUUAUAUAAUGUACCUUCAACAUUGAAGUUCUGAGUUAUGCCAACAUUUUUAAGCUUGUCUGGGAGUUAAUGAGGCCUUGAAUGUACGAGGUUUUACUGUCCAUUAAAAUUAUUCUUUUAAAAUGUCAUAAAAUUAUGUGAGUCCUUUCAUGUCAUUAUAUGACUCUGUGAGUGAAUUUUAAAUUGGGGGAAAAAAGGCAAAUAAUCUUAUCUUCUAGAAAUGUGAGCUCAGAGAGGGCCGAGAGACAGUGGUGUCUGUGUUUAGAACAGGGCACCUAGGGCUGGGCACUCAGAUACCUAAGUCCAUAUCUGAGUUUCUUAUCUGUCCCCUUAGUCCAGGAGAUGCUUUUCUGUUAGAGGCUAUUUAUGUAGCCUGGGUCCCCAGACUCUAGGAAACCAACCAUUGUCGUAUCUUACUCUAUUUUGGGGAAAGUGGGGGCGUAGGUGGUUCUACCUCUACCUGACACUUUUUCUCCAACUAAUUCUGAUUCAAAGAAAGAUGGCUAGAUUCGCUGUUCUCAUUUGGGUUUUCUCUCUAACUUGGUCCUUAGCAAGUUUUUUUCUCUCCUCAGACACAGAACUAGGUGGGAAAUUCUUCCCAGGGCUUCCAGUUGCAAGUGAAUUGUGUCUCUGAGUAGGGGAGAAGGAGGGUGCGAACAACUGACCUAAGGGACUUUCUGACUCACCCGCUUUGUGCUGCAUUUCAGCCUCUGCCCUCAACAAUUCCUUAAACUAGGUGCCUCAAUGCUCUUUGCAUACAUUCUUUGACUCUAUCAUUAGUUCAGGUCUCUGGACAAAACCUAGAAUAGGGAGUGGAGUUUUCUUCUAAGUACUGUGAACUUAAUUUUUCACACAGGUUGGAUUUGGGAAGCAAUGCUAAGCAGUGGAAUGGACAUCGACAUAGAGAGAUCAGCUCCACACUUAUACUCUGCCACUCAACUUCCCCAUGUGACUUGAGGAUCACUCUAACUCCAAAACAUAGCAAGCUCGCGGAACAUCAGGGUUCAUGCAAAGUAUUCCAAGGAGCCCCUUGAAGCAACAGAAUGGAUUGCUCUUCUAUGGUGGAAUGGCACCCUGGAUGAUUAAAACCGUAGCAGCAAACAAAACCUCCAUCAAGUAAGAAUUCAGAGUGUGAGAUAUCACGCACAGCCACGCGUGGAUCUUUAUAUACGUGUCAAUGUGUUUGAUUGUAUUUUUGCUUUCAAAGUAUGUAUUGAGCAUUUCUUCUAGGUCCUCAGUAACAUCUUUUUAAAAAAAAAAUAAAUGCUUAGGGAAUUGUUUUAUAUUAAACUCGCUUCCAUUGUUAUCAACUUGGAGAGUGUCCCUCAUACAUGGAGCUCUCUCACAGGAUUGACUUUUCAUAUUAGGAGUGUAAAUAAAAGUUGUUCCUUGGUUUGUGUAUUACAGAUAUUCCUGAAAACAGAGUCAAGUUAUAUUUCUAAAGUACUAGCGUCUGCUUAAAGAAAUGACAAGGUGAAGUCUUUCACAAAGUAAGCAUUCAAUGUAUGAUUUCUCUGCUAUGUAAAUCUGGUUGUUCAUACAGUUUCUAUGACAUAAUUGGCCACGAC
rnacentral:lncRNA from 10 species